GCAAUGUUCUGACUGUGAAGCCGGCCUGUAAGGGAUCCGGUGGAGUGAUCAGAAGUGAGAAUGUUGACAUGAGUAGCGAUAAAGAGUGUGAGAGACACUCUCGCCGAAAGUCCAAGGGUUCCUGCUUAAAGCUAAUCUGAGCAGGGUAAGCCGACCCCUAAGGCGAGGCCGAAAGGCGUAGUCGAUGGGAAACCGUUUAAUAUUACGGUGCCAGGAAGAUGUGACGGAUCAUGAAGAUUGUUUCCCCUUAUUGGAUUGGGGAGGCCGUUCAGUGGUCCCUGGAAAUAGCCUUCCAUUAGAUCGUACCCUAAACCAACACAGGUGGACUGGUAGAGAAUACCAAGGCGCUUGAGAGAACUGCAUUGAAGGAACUCGGCAAAAUGCCUCCGUAAGUUCGCGAGAAGGAGGCCCCGUCAGAACGCAAGUUUUGGCGGGGGGCACAGACCAGGGGGUGGCGACUGUUUACUAAAAACACAGGGCUCUGCGAAGUCGUAAGACGACGUAUAGGGUCUGACGCCUGCCCGGUGCCGGAAGGUUAAAGGGAGGAGUGCAAGCUCCGAACUGAAGCCCCGGUAAACGGCGGCCGUAACAAUAACGGUCCUAAGGUAGCGAAAUUCCUUGUCGGGUAAUUUCCGACCCGCAUGAAUGGUGUAACGAUUUCCCCACUGUCUCCAGUAUAGACUCAAUGAAAUUGAAUUGUCCGUGAAGAUGCGGACUACCAGCAGCUAGACGGAAAGACCCCGUGCACCUUUACUACAUCUUUACAUUGUCUAACGGAUUUUCAUGUAUAGAAUAGGUGGGAGCUUAUGAUGCCUUAGCGCAAGCUAACUGCGGAGGCUUCCUUGAAAUACCACCCUUGAAAUCUUUUCGGACUAAGUUUAUGUAUAAAAUAUAAACAACAGUGUAUGGUUGGUAGUUUGACUGGGGCGGUCGCCUCCCAAAUAGUAACGGAGGCGUACGAAGGUAGGCUCAAGUUUGAUGGAAAUAAACUUUAGAGUGCAAUGGCAUAAGCCUGCUUAACUGUAAGACAAACAAGUCGAACAGAAACGAAAGUUGGUCAUAGUGAUCCGGUGGUCCCUGUGUGGAAAGGCCAUCGCUCAACGGAUAAAAGGUACGCCGGGGAUAACAGGCUAAUGACUCCCAAGAG
rnacentral:rRNA from 1 species